AUACGUAGGGUGCGAGCGUUGUCCGGAAUUACUGGGCGUAAAGAGCUCGUAGGUGGUUUGUCGCGUCGUCUGUGAAAUUCCGGGGCUUAACUCCGGGCGUGCAGGCGAUACGGGCAUAACUUGAGUACUGUAGGGGAGACUGGAAUUCCUGGUGUAGCGGUGAAAUGCGCAGAUAUCAGGAGGAACACCGGUGGCGAAGGCGGGUCUCUGGGCAGUAACUGACGCUGAGGAGCGAAAGCAUGGGUAGCGAACAGGAUUAGAUACCCUGGUAGUCCAUGCCGUAAACGGUGGGCGCUAGGUGUAGGGGUCUUCCACGACUUCUGUGCCGUAGCUAACGCAUUAAGCGCCCCGCCUGGGGAGUACGGCCGCAAGGCUAGAACUCAAAGGAAUUGACGGG
rnacentral:rRNA from 1 species